UGAAUCCGCGCGGGAGAGUUCCGGCCACAGGCCGGGCGCCGAAGGAGCAAGAUCCUCCCUUGAAUCUCUCAGGCCCCGUACCGCGUGGAUGAG
rnacentral:ncRNA from 2 species